GGCCUCUUCUCCCAUGGAAGUAGAGGGCCUUUUCUCCUUCGUUAUGUGUGGAGACCAAAAUCAGCCUUUGAGAAUCAUUGCUGGGACUGCCACAGAUGGGCAGCUUUGUCUUCCUAACUCAAGACAUUU
rnacentral:snoRNA from 1 species